UUUAGGGCAGGGCAGUGUUUCAAAAUUAAAUGCAAAAAGGUCUUAUUCAGAGGUACAAGAGGGCAAACACAGAGAAUUCUUAAGAGCAGAGCAAUCAAAUCUGCAAAAAUCAGAAUAGCCAACUGAUGGCAGAAGAGACCUUUCUCCCGUUGAACAAAAGUUUGGAUUUUGGCCAUCCAGUGCUGGCAUUCCUCUUUAAUGAAUAAUAAUAACUUGCUCAGGCUUAUGUUGGUUUGAGGAACUGCAUGCAACAUUUGUUUCACACAUGCUGGAAAAUAUUUCUUUCUACCUGUUUAUCUGAAGGGUUGCUGUGCUUUUCAGGUAGUAAAUUAAUUACCUUAAGAAUUAAGAGCUGUCUCCUUAAGACAUUGCAUUGUGGGAGAUGUAGAGAGAUUGCAUUAUGGGAAAUGUAAUCCAGGACAUGUGACCACUUCUGUGUGUCCGAUUGGCCACUGAGACUCUCUGCUCGGGCUACAGAACAAAGCCCCAGCCAUUAUGAGUUGCCAUGGAGGAGAGAAGCAUGCUUUCUGAACAGGGGGACAGAUCUACCAUCAUUUUACACUAGGAAAUGGGACAGAUUAUGAAGUAAGGAUGAACCUCACCUUGACUCACCAUAAUUGGGCCGGCAAUGUUUUUCAGGCUGAGGAUCACAUGUAGUCUUUGAACAGCAUGCCUGUGGUUGCACUCCAAAAGAGUGACAGGCCGACAAACGACAAUUGAUUUUGCAUAUCUCAUUUCUCCCCUCAAGAAAAGGUUACAUCUAACUUGAAAAGGAGCAUGCAGGUUAAAAGCACCGAAAAAAUUUCUAUUCAAAACUAUUUUAAAGCAGCCACAUCUUUUCCUAGGACUAUGUGGUAAUUGUAGAGGGCAACUGUGCCAUCCUGAGAAAAUCCUUCACUGCUUUAAACAGCCAUAGAUAAAUGCUGUUUGGGCAUCCAAUCUAACCCUUUUUCAAAUUAUUUCUGAAGCACCAACAGACCUCAGUUACCCCAAGUAAUCAACUGCCAUUUGAACAUAAUUUUCCACCAGAAAUGAUUUUCAAACAGGUGGAUAAAGAAAGGUCAAUCCGUGAAGUGGGAGCAGGUCCGUGUAACUGAUUAUUAGAUAAGCUUAUAUGGCUCGUUUCUCCCCAAACACAAACAACUAAAUUGGCACAUAUGGAAAAAUCAGUAAAGUUUUUCAAUUGAAGAAGAGUCCAAAGCCGAACACUGAGGGGAAAUAUGAAGCCGAGUAACCCUAAAUAGAAGCAAACAUAAAAUUCUGACUGAAUACCAACUAGAGGUAGUAGAAGUGGUGAAAGGAUUUGCUGGUGACAUGACCAUUGCCCAGAGGACACCCAGUUGGGGACUCCUUUCGCAUCCCUGUGAAGUUGCCUAACGAGGGUACCCAUUUCUCUACUUAUGGUCACCCAUGGGGCAGCAGGAACUGGAGUGUAUGAUGGGAUCUCAUCCCAUGGCAGUAGCGAGUCUUGAACAUGAGCCUGUCGAUCAUCAGCCUAGCAUUCUUACCUCAGUAGCCAAUAAAUCCAAAAAUGCUGGAGAAUUUCUGGAAGCCUGAUACGCAGACAAAUCAGCCAUCAACCAGCACACAGAGAUAAAUAAUAUCUAGAUUCCAUUCAAAAGCAAUAAUCAAAAGGCCAAAAAGGAAAUAAAGAGACCAAAACACCUCCUUAUCAGCAAUCAACACCCAGAUGAGCAGAGAUCAAGCACUAAGAUACCAACAGAUACCAACAGUCAAGAAGUAAAUACCCUAAUUAAGGAACCACCAACUCAAACAACAGUAAACAACAGCCAGAUGAAAGAACCAACAAAAACUCCCACCAACACUGGCAGGGAAAGCCACAAGUACACAAAAAAAAAAUGAGAGCAAAGCCCACUCCUUUCUAGCACUGAUGAUGAUACCUAGUUUGGAAAUGAAAUGUCUGCAAGUAAACAGCCAAAUUCAGAGAGCAAUAAGGACCCCACCAUUCAAUCCGGGCUAUUUACGGGACCACCUACUGCCACAAACAGCCUCCCACCGACCUGUGCGCUCCCACAGGGAGGGCCUCCUUGGGGUACCGUCGGUGAAACAAUGUCGUCUGGCGACCCCCAGAGGUAGGGCCUUCUCUGUGGGGACUCCUGCCCUCUGGGACGAGCUGCCUCCGGGGCUUCGCCAACUCCCCGACCUUCGGAUUUUCCGCCGUGAACUGAAGACUCUUUUAUUCCGUCGAGCUGGGCU